rnacentral:lncRNA from 1 species
ACGGUACGUAGCGGCUGCUUUUAGCCUCACCAUACGGGGAAUUGUCAGCAACCUAAGAUUGCUUUCUCUUUUAACAGAAAUUGUUACAGGUGCCGGCUCUCGUGCGCUUUCCUCCCGUUGCCCGGCUGCUGUUUUGCCCUCCGCAUCGCGUUAUCGCGUAUGCUCCCGACUGUCACUCUCGUCUACCUCUGCGAGGUAUCAUCGUGUGGGGUCCAAUCUAAAGUGCGAGUGUGUGAGUGUACUGCGCCUCUAGGAGGACUAGGGCUGCCUUUAUUUUGGGUUUAAUGUUUUGUUGUGGGGGUUAUUUUGCAUGUUUAUUUGGGGUUGAUUUGUGAUUAUUGUUUGUGUGGGUUAUUUUGCAUGUUUAUUUGGGUUUGACUAAGUGUGCUUUUUGCUCGUGUGGGUUAUUUUUGCAUGUUAUUUGGAUUUGAUUAAUUGUGUUAUUUGUGUGCUGUGUGGGUUAUUUUUGUAUGUUUAUUUGGGUUCUUCUAUUGUGUACGUUUUUCUUUCAUUUUCUAAGCGGCGUCGAUCCUACCCUGUGGGGUGCAGGUGUUUUAAAGAUAAUUGUAAAAUCUCGAAUAUGAAUUUAAUAUCUGCACGUUGAGUGUGUGUGAAUGGGUGUGUGAGAGUAUUUUAGCAAUUAUUGUUAGCGGAUAAUCGGGAAUAAAGGUAUUAAUUUUGUACAUUGGACCAGUCUCUUAUCCUCAUUAGGAACACUUGUGCGGCCUUGAUAAUUCUCCAGGCGGAAUUCCUGGGGUGGCGUUGUCGACUUUGCAAAGAGAUAUACCGAGC